rnacentral:rRNA from 1 species
UACGGAGGGGACUAGCGUUGUUCGGAAUUACUGGGCGUAAAGCGCGCGUAGGCGGAUUUGUAAGUCAGGAGUGAAAGCCCUCGGCUUAACCGGGGAAGUGCUUUUGAAACUGCAUGACUUGAAUACUGGAGAGGAUCGCGGAAUUCCCGGUGUAGAGGUGAAAUUCGUAGAUAUCGGGAGGAACACCAGUGGCGAAGGCGGCGAUCUGGACAGAUAUUGACGCUGAGGUGCGAAAGCGUGGGGAGCAAACAGG